AAGCACCGACAAGCCCACAGGUGACUCCCCACCCCUCCCCACCAACUGCAAUUAUCACCCACCUCCCGACAGUGACAACUCUGCCGGCCUGGGCCCCUCGCCAGGCGGCGGACGGAGACAAUGGCAAACAGGGCGGUCGCUUCCGGGAGCUUCCGCAGCUGGCGCCCCGGUGAUGGUUUUUCUCCAGAGCCGUGCUGUUCAAAGGAUUCCUGUAGCAAACGGUCUCCCAUUCUCAUUCUCACCCCCACCCUGUGAAGCGUGUUCUCGUCUUCACUGUAAAAAUGGACGAGCUGGAGCACGGACCCAUCCGCCUUCUACCGCCCUCAUUCCCCUCCUGUUGAAGAGCCCUCACCAGCCCCCAGGGCACAUCCUGAAGCUCUCUCUGGUCGGACCGGCACCCGGUUGUGCGUGGAGACGCCCGACAUCCCCCUGUCUCCAGCAGCUGCACGGGGUCUGUCCGGGGCCUGGGCGCCUCGGCAUUUUCUCAACAGUUCAGUUCAGAGUUGAGCCGCGCUGCACGGGCCUGCGGUGAGAGCUGGCCUCCUGCCAGCAAGGUGCGUGCCCAGCGGGAGGUGAGGAGGUGCUGUGUGCCUUGCAAAUUCCUCUCAAGUUCACCCGAGUAGGUCCUGGCGGGGAGUGCCUGCAUUCCGUCUGGAGGGUUGAGGGUUAGGCCACUGAGGAUUCCGGCACUUAUCUUUGGCCGGGACCAGAACAAAAUGCCGAGCUAAGUGCAUGUGAAUAUUAUUUCAACUGUCUUUAAGAAAACCAGCUCCACGUCAUAAAACUCUUGGCUGGCACCCUUGUGCCUCAGCUUUCAGACUUAAAUGCCAUUGGUAUGUUUCUCAGCAACAUUAAUUAAAAUCCUUUUAAAGAC